AUUGAACGCUGGCGGCAGGCCUAACACAUGCAAGUCGAGCGGAUGAGAAGAGCUUGCUCUUCGAUUCAGCGGCGGACGGGUGAGUAAUGCCUAGGAAUCUGCCUGGUAGUGGGGGACAACGUUUCGAAAGGAACGCUAAUACCGCAUACGUCCUACGGGAGAAAGCAGGGGACCUUCGGGCCUUGCGCUAUCAGAUGAGCCUAGGUCGGAUUAGCUAGUUGGUGAGGUAAUGGCUCACCAAGGCGACGAUCCGUAACUGGUCUGAGAGGAUGAUCAGUCACACUGGAACUGAGAAACGGUCCAGACGCCUACGGGAGGCAGCAGUGGGGAAUAUUGGACAAUGGGCGAAAGCCUGAUCCAGCCAUGCCGCGUGUGUGAAGAAGGUCUUCGGAUUGUAAAGCACUUUAAGUUGGGAGGAAGGGCAGUAAGUUAAUACCUUGCUGUUUUGACGUUACCGACAGAAUAAGCACCGGCUAACUCUGUGCCAGCCGCCGCAGUAAUAC
rnacentral:rRNA from 1 species